UUGGUUGCUAUGGGCAACUGGGCAACUUUUCCUCUGCACAGGUUUUGAUAAAUCUCUCCCAAUAUUAUUUUGUUUUUUAACCAACUUACAUAGUAGGAUGGUUGCGGUGUAAUGCAGACUGUGCUGUGUUUGGCGGCUUCAUAACCAGAGAAAUGCUGCAAAACUGGGAUAAGAUUGCUGAGGCUGCACUAAUACAUAAGAAUAAAGCUGCGCUGUGAUCCUCUAUGGCAAUGAGAUCCCCCGCAGAGAUAUCUCUUCACUUAUUUGUAUGAAUGUGGACACUUUAUGGCAGCUGCGACCAUAGACUAAGUCCUGUAUCACAGACUACGCUAAGUGAUAAUAUAUUCCUGACAGUCUUCAAGAAUGCAGAUUAGCUUUCUCUUCCAGAAUAGGAAAAAAGACUGUGCAUGCAGUAUUUUCUUCCCCAUCAAAAAAACAGUGAAGCAGCCAAGAAGAACACACGGCUAUUCAUAUUAAUGAUUGUGUUUCACCGGACUGGAGACCGUCAUCUGGUGCUGACCCUCUAUAAUAUCACACGUGCUGCUGCCAGGAGAGGAAGUUCCAUCAGUAAAUCAUGCUCCUCUUUUAAAAUUUUUAUUCUCAGAUCAGAUUUUAUUCUUGGUUGAUAUGAGUGUGUUCAUGGGUUGUUCCUCUGGGCCAAGGAAGGAGAGCUCAACCCUUAAUAGCUGACCUCCCCACCUGAGAAAAUGGCAUAGCACAGUCCUUAAAGGGGUAAUCCACUGAAAACAUCUUAUCCCCUAUCUAAAGACCCUAUCCCAGUGGAGGGACCCCCGCGA